rnacentral:rRNA from 1 species
GACGAACGCUGGCGGCGUGCUUAACACAUGCAAGUCGAACGAAGAGCGACGGAAGCUUGCUUCUAUCAAUCUUAGUGGCGAACGGGUGAGUAACGCGUAAUCAACCUGCCCUUCAGAGGGGGACAACAGUUGGAAACGACUGCUAAUACCGCAUACGAUCUAACCUCGGCAUCGAGGAUAGAUGAAAGGUGGCCUCUACAUGUAAGCUAUCACUGAAGGAGGGGAUUGCGUCUGAUUAGCUAGUUGGAGGGGUAACGGCCCACCAAGGCGAUGAUCAGUAGCCGGUCUGAGAGGAUGAACGGCCACAUUGGGACUGAGACACGGCCCAGACUCCUACGGGAGGCAGCAGUGGGGAAUCUUCCGCAAUGGACGAAAGUCUGACGGAGCAACGCCGCGUGAGUGAUGACGGCCUUCGGGUUGUAAAGCUCUGUUAAUCGGGACGAAAGGACUUCUUGCGAAUAGGGAGAAGGAUUGACGGUACCGGAAUAGAAAGCCACGGCUAACUACGUG